rnacentral:rRNA from 1 species
UACGUAGGGUGCAAGCGUUGUCCGGAAUUAUUGGGCGUAAAGAGCUCGUAGGCGGUUUGUCGCGUCGGCUGUGAAAACCUGGGGCUCAACCCCGGGCCUGCAGCCGAUACGGGCAAACUAGAAUUCGGUAGGGGAGACUGGAAUUCCUGGUGUAGCGGUGAAAUGCGCAGAUAUCAGGAGGAACACCGGUGGCGAAGGCGGGUCUCUGGGCCGAUAUUGACGCUGGAGGAGCGAAAGCGUGGGGAGCGAACAGG